rnacentral:lncRNA from 10 species
CAGCAUGGACAAGUUUAAGAAACACUGGAUUUGCCAUCUAUCAAGAUGCUCCAUUUAGGGGUGGUCCAAAAGGUCUUUCAGUAACUCAGCAGUUCUCUUCUCAGAAUUAGUUCCCAGUCUGUGCCUUCCAAUCUUCCCAGUAUAUUCCUUUACCAGCACAAAAACUCAUGUACAGCCAAUGACCAGUUCAGAAUAGAUGCCAAAGUAAUCAGACUAUACCAGUAGCUCACCCCAUGUCUGGUCACCAAGUAAGCCAUCACAGACUCUGCAAAUAAUCCUGGAAAGGAAGAGGUACCAGGACAAGAAGGAAAGAACUAAAACAAGGAUGUGAAUAACUUCUAAACUGGUCAGCCUUGGACAAAAGGAAAUCUGGAAAUCUCGACUUGGCCUGAGAGAAACCUCAUCCUGGCCCUUAAAGUGCCAAUUAAGGCUGAGUUGAAAAGGAGCUGGGCAUCAUCAAACUGCAAACAAACUUAGCUUAGGCACCCACAGUGUGAUGAUGUGUUUAUUUCCAUGAAGGAGCAGUCUAUGGAGAAGUGCAGGAACUUUCAAAGUUGCAUGGGCAGAGCUGCUUCUUAUAUGACAGAAUUGGCAGCUGCCUGUCACUUCACAGUGGGUCACAUGAAUAUGAAGCAGAGAACUGGCUGUGUGCGUCAGCAGGGGAGCUUAAGACUGCAGAUUCUGGGGAAUCAGCACUCACUGUGACACAUGUGAUCCUCUGUCUCCUCAGACAACUGAAGGAUGAUGAGAAGGGGAUCUCUGGAGCCUUGACCUUCUGGGCCCCGAAUUUCUAGCUAGAAAACCUCUUUUCAAGACAAAAACAUACCAAAGUACAUUUUGAAGUAUUUCGAAGAAUGAAUCACAUGCCCUAACUUUAUAAUAGAGGAAGGCACAGAUCUCAUUUUUGUGACAGGUGAAACAUAAUCCUUGCCACAGGUUAACUCCAGAAGAAGGAACUGUACAGCUGAACAGAGCAGAUUCUUAGAAACUACAAACUAACCAACAAACAAACAAAUAAGGCAAAGAACAG